GCCGGAAUAGCUCAGUGGUAGAGCGCAUCACUCGUACCUUUGCGUAAAAUAACGAGGGUAAAUGAUGAGGUCCACGGUUCGAUCCCGUGUUUCGGCA